UACAGAGGGUGCAAGCGUUGUUCGGAAUUAUUGGGCGUAAAGCGCGUGUAGGCGGCUUUGCAAGUCGGGUGUGAAAGCCCUCAGCUCAACUGAGGAAGUGCGCCCGAAACUGCAGAGCUUGAGUGCCGGAGAGGGUGGCGGAAUUCCCCCAAAGUAGAGGUGAAAUUCGUAGAUAUGGGGGAGGAACACCGGUGGCGAAGGCGGCCACCUGGA
rnacentral:rRNA from 1 species